UUGCUCACUGCGGCAGCAUAUAUACUUAAAUUGGAAUGAUACAUAGAAGAUGAGCAUGGCCCCUACACAAGGAUGACAUGCAAAUUAGUGAAGCAUCCUAAAUUUUU
rnacentral:snRNA from 1 species